rnacentral:misc_RNA from 1 species
CAUCGCAAAAUAUCCCUGCGCGCCGCGAUCUCAUCUGCCUGGGAUUUUUCCACCAUCGCAAAAUAUCCCUGCGCGCCGCGAUCUCAUCCGCCUGGGAUAUUUCCCACCGACCAGCCCAGUGCGCUCUAUCUCCUUCCAGCCACAAAGUCCCAUGGCGCACCCAUAUCCUCUGCUCCAUCUCCCUCCAGCCAUCCUUGGAUUCUUCUUCUCUUCCGCGCGCGCCUCAUCUACUGUUUUUCCAGCCGCACCCAGCUCCUAUUCGCCAUGACGCACGAACGAGCUACUCUCCUCCCAUCUCCUUCCUCGCCCUCUCCUGGCCAUGGCUCUAGUUCUCACUCGCAGCGGCCAGUAACCACUGAAACCCACCGCCCGCGUGAGCAAAGACGACAUCAGGGCGAUGGGACGGAUCCUGUGCGGCGACCAUCCUCGCAUUCGCGCCUCCCCGGGGCCACCCCUCUUCCCAUCGCGCCACGACGGAUUGCGGGCGACGGUGCUAUGGCGGCGUGGGCUGGGGUUGGG